rnacentral:rRNA from 1 species
GACGAACGCUGGCGGCGUGCUUAACACAUGCAAGUCGAACGGAAAGGCCCUGCUUUUGUGGGGUGCUCGAGUGGCGAACGGGUGAGUAACACGUGAGUAACCUGCCCUUGACUUUGGGAUAACUUCAGGAAACUGGGGCUAAUACCGGAUAGGAGCUCCUGCUGCAUGGUGGGGUUUGGAAAGUUUCGGCGGUUGGGGAUGGACUCGCGGCUUAUCAGCUUGUUGGUGGGGUAGUGGCUUACCAAGGCUUUGACGGGUAGCCGGCCUGAGAGGGUGACCGGCCACAUUGGGACUGAGAUACGGCCCAGACUCCUACGGGAGGCAGCAGUGGGGAAUAUUGCACAAUGGGCGGAAGCCUGAUGCAGCAACGCCGCGUGCGGGAUGACGGCCUUCGGGUUGUAAACCGCUUUCGCCUGUGAUGAAGCGUGAGUGACGGUAAUGGGUAAAGAAGCACCGGCUAACUACGUG